AUUGAACGCUGGCGGCAUGCCUUACACAUGCAAGUCGAACGGUAACAGGUCUUCGGAUGCUGACGAGUGGCGAACGGGUGAGUAAUACAUCGGAACGUGCCCGAGAGUGGGGGAUAACGAGGCGAAAGCUUUGCUAAUACCGCAUACGAUCUCAGGAUGAAAGCAGGGGACCGCAAGGCCUUGCGCUCACGGAGCGGCCGAUGGCAGAUUAGGUAGUUGGUGGGAUAAAAGCUUACCAAGCCGACGAUCUGUAGCUGGUCUGAGAGGACGACCAGCCACACUGGGACUGAGACACGGCCCAGACUCCUACGGGAGGCAGCAGUGGGGAAUUUUGGACAAUGGGCGCAAGCCUGAUCCAGCCAUGCCGCGUGCAGGAAGAAGGCCUUCGGGUUGUAAACUGCUUUUGUACGGAACGAAACGGUCUGGGUUAAUACCUCGGGCUAAUGACGGUACCGUAAGAAUAAGCACCGGCUAACUACGUGCCAGCCGCCGCCGUAAUAC
rnacentral:rRNA from 1 species